AUCACUGGAGUUAGGGUUAGGAGUGGUUUGAGAGUACCUUAGCUCAUGUGAGAUGACAGAUCGAUUCCGCAACGUGCUAGAUUCUUUAGGAACAGUAGGAUGAGUGUUUCAUCGUGAUCCACACUAAACUCCACCGCCCUCACUGCCUCCAGCUAUAUUGAGUCCACUCUCACUAAGUUGUCGAUUGGAGUUGUUCCUUGGUCCGUUGUCCUCUCGUUGCUCUUCAGAAUCUCCAGGGCGCUUGAGAUUUCCUUUGCUAUGUUCCCUAGUGGUGAUUGGGGUGGUUGUUGUGGUGAUUGUGUUUUCUUCUCCUGCUGUAAAGGUGAAGCUUUCUGAGCUGGUUCCAAUUGUAACACUUUGAAGUGUGGUGUGGCAUAUGGGUCCUCCACUGUGAGGUCCGGGAAGAACGGGAUAUUGUUGAAAAUUUUGUUGAUCCUCUCUUGGAUAGACACUUCUCUGUUGGUGUUUGAG
rnacentral:lncRNA from 1 species